rnacentral:rRNA from 1 species
GACCUCGGAUCAGGUAGGGAUACCCGCUGAACUUAAGCAUAUCAAUAAGCGGAGGAAAAGAAACCAACAGGGAUUGCCUCAGUAACGGCGAGUGAAGCGGCAACAGCUCAAAUUUGAAAUCUGGCUCUUUCAGGGUCCGAGUUGUAAUUUGUAGAAGAUGCUUCGGGUGUGGCUCCGGUCUAAGUUCCUUGGAACAGGACGUCAUAGAGGGUGAGAAUCCCGUAUGUGACUGGGUGCCUUCGCUCAUGUGAAGCUCUUUCGACGAGUCGAGUUGUUUGGGAAUGCAGCUCAAAAUGGGUGGUAAAUUUCAUCUAAAGCUAAAUAUUGGCCAGAGACCGAUAGCGCACAAGUAGAGUGAUCGAAAGAUGAAAAGCACUUUGGAAAGAGAGUUAAACAGUACGUGAAAUUGUUGAAAGGGAAGCGC